CGGCCGGCUACCGGCGUCCAGCCGCCUUGCCUGUACCGGCCGGUUGUGCCCGCCACCCGUGAGAGCGCUCCCGGCACAGAGCGCGGAGGCUCGCUGGUGGAGGUAGCGACCGGAGGCUGGACAGCCGAGUCGCGUGGGUCGCUUACCGGCAGGUGCUGUUCCUUUGACACAGUGGAUGGUGAUUGUGUGCUCCUGCCUGAGAAUGGUCCAAAACGAUGAAGACUGAGGCUGCACUUCCUGUUUUGUGCCCUUGAAGAGGCUCAGCAGAACUGAAAGGUGCUGACCCUGAGACCCAGAGGUUCAAUAACUUGACCUAGGAACACAGGCUGCCAAGGUCACACUCUCAAGCUUGAGUCACUUCUCUUUGCACCAAGAGGAGAGAACCAGAAGAAGAAGAAAAAACAUUUUCCACUAAGCUGUCUCUUGGAAAUGUCCCUGUCUUUGCUCACAGAGGACCACAUGGAACAGGAAGCCAGAGGUGACGCCCCGCACACUCCUUGGCAUCGACCACCUGCCAAGGAUGGAACUUUUAUUCUGUUUGACCCAGAAUGUUUUUCUCCAAGAAAAGGAUUCCAUGUUGACCCUGAGUCAUCCUCAGUAGGCAUGGGAGCUACUCAGCAUGUGGCCUUGGAGGUCUGGGACCCUGGACAGACAUAAAAAUCAAGAGGGUGGGAUCUUGGCGGAGUUAUGAUUCAGAAAAUGAGGUGGGAACAGUCUUCGAUUUCUAAGUUUGGCAGCGGAGUCCUGGGAAUUCCUGUCUUCCUACCAGACAAGUAUCAGUAGAAAGAAAGCUAGUGAAAAUGGGCCUUCAAAGUAUUCGCUUACCGCUGCAGCUCCCAGGGCAGAGAUGCUUAAGCUUUUGAGGGCUGUGUUUCCCUUUGAGGAUUUGUUGAAGGCAGUAGACCCUUUUCCCAGUGGCGUGUCCGCACACAGAUGAUUUUGUGCCCAGGGGCCAGGGUUCCCUGGAGCCUCCAAUGCCUACCCUACAGCCUUUGGGUGAGAAGGCUGGUAAAGAACAGAACAAAAAGGGAAACUCUAGUUGCAGCACUAUGCGUAAUAGUCAAGAGGUGGCAACAACCUGAAUGCCCAUCAGCAGAUGUAUGGUUAAACAAAAUGUCCUACCUACAUACGAUGGAAUGUUACCCAGCCAUAAAGAGAAAUGAGGUCCCAGUAUGUGUUCCCAGUGUAUGAACCUCGAAGAUGUUAUGCUGCGUGAAAGAAGUUAGUCACAGAAAGACAAAUAUUUUAUGAUCUCACUUAUCUGAAGUAACAAGAAUAGGCAAAUGCCUAGAGAUCAGAGUUUGUUAGUGGUUACCAGGAGUGGGAGGGAGGGGGAAGGGGGAGUCAUCAAUUAAGAAGCAGUGAGUUUCUGGUGAUGCAAAAUUCGUCAGUGAUUUUGGGUGAUGGCUGCACAAUACGAUGAAGGUAAUUGAUGUCACUAAAUUGCACGCCUGACCGAUAGCAAAUUAACAAAUGUUACAUGUAUUUUUACAACAGUUUUAAAAAGGGGUAAACUAUUGGUUGGGGUAGAGAGGGAGAUGGAAUGGCUGAACGGUCUUGCACUCCAGUUCUAACCCUUGCCUGCUCUCUCUCUUCUCUCCGCCCCCUCGCUC